rnacentral:rRNA from 1 species
AGAGUUUGAUCAUGGCUCAGAAUGAACGCUAGCGGCGUGCUUAACACAUGCAAGUCGUACGAGAACUCUUUAGCUUGCUAAAGAUAGUAAAGUGGCGCACGGGUGAGUAACGCGUGGGUAAUCUACCUCUGAAUUUGGGAUAACUCCGCGAAAGCGGGGCUAAUACCGGAUAAUAUUUCAGAAUCUUCGGAUAUUGAAAUCAAAAGUGGCCUCUACAUGUAAGCUACUGUUUGGAGAUGAGCCCGCGUACCAUUAGCUUGUUGGUGGGGUAAUGGCCUACCAAGGCUACGAUGGUUAGCUGGUCUGAGAGGAUGAUCAGCCACACUGGAACUGACACACGGUCCAGACUCCUACGGGAGGCAGCAGUGAGGAAUUUUGCGCAAUGGGGGAAACCCUGACGCAGCAACGCCGCGUGAGUGAUGAAGGCUUUCGGGUCGUAAAGCUCUGUCAAGUGGGAAGAAUAUAAUAAAUGUUAAUAUCAUUUUUUACUGACGGUACCACUAAAGGAAGCACCGGCUAACUCCGUGCCAGCAGCCGCGGUAAUACGGGGGGUGCAAGCGUUAUUCGGAAUUAUUGGGCGUAAAGGGCGCGUAGGCGGUCUUUUAAGUCAGAUGUGAAAGCCCGGGGCUUAACCCCCGGAAGUGCAUUUGAAACUGAAAGACUUGAGUAUGGGAGGAGGGAAAGUGGAAUUCCUGGGGUGUAGGAGGGUGAAAUUCGUAGAUAUCAUGAGAAACACGGGUGGGCGAAAGGCGACUUCCCUGGACAAUACUGACGCUGAGCGCGAAGGGCGUGGGGAGCAAACAGAUUAGAUUACCCUGGUAGUCCACGCAGUAAC